AACGGGUGCAACUGUGGAACCAUUUGGGUCAUUUGUGUCUAAUCUUUUCACUAGACAACUGGACCUGGAUAUCUCUGUUCAGUUACCCAAUGGUUCAUAUAUCUCGGCCGCUGGAAAGAAACUUAAACAGGCACUAUUAGGAGACUUGUUGAAAGCCUUGAGACAGACAAGUGAGCGUAACAGAGAUUUGAGCACUGUUUGGUUUUUACAAACUUGGAACUGUCUGUGCUUGUGAAAGUUGACGGAUGGGACAAACGCAAUAGGGACUUUUUGGUUCCUUUAGUAUUCACCAAAAAAUGAAGAAAGGCUCUCAUCAACUAACCCUGUAUCUGCAGGACUGAGAGGAGACAUCAUAAAGCAGAAGCUUUUUGCAGAGCUGAGUCUUAUUAAUUUCUGACAUUAGAAUUAAUGUAAUCAAAUGCAUGAAUUUUUCUUGCAAGAACUUCCUUUUAUCUUGGUUCUAUUACAUUAAAAUGGCACUUCUUGUUUUCACCCACUCCAGUGAAGUGCAUAUUUUACAUAA